GAGCCCAGGAGGCGGGGCGCCUGUGGGAGCCGUGGAGGGAACUUUCCCAGUCCCCGAGGCGGAUCCGGUGUUGCAUCCUUGGAGCGAGCUGAGAGCUCGAGUACAGAACCUGCUAAGGCCAUCAAACCUAUUGAUCGGAAGUCAGUCCAUCAGAUUUGCUCUGGGCCGGUGGUACCGAGUCUAAGCACUGCGGUGAAGGAGUUAGUAGAAAACAGUCUGGAUGCUGGUGCCACUAAUAUUGAUCUAAAGCUUAAGGACUAUGGAGUGGAUCUCAUUGAAGUUUCAGGCAAUGGAUGUGGGGUAGAAGAAGAAAACUUCGAAGGCUUAACUCUGAAACAUCACACAUCUAAGAUUCAAGAGUUUGCCGACCUACCUCAGUGAUGUCACCAUUUCUACCUGCCAUGUAUCGGCGAAGGUUGGGACUCGACUGGUGUUUGAUCACUAUGGGAAAAUCAUCCAGAAAACCCCCUACCCCCACCCCAGAGGGAUGACAGUCAGUGUGAAGCAGUUAUUUUCUACGCUACCUGUGCACCAUAAAGAAUUUCAAAGGAAUAUUAAGAAGUGAGUGAGCGCUCAUGGGAUCUGGUUGUUUAGAAGCAUGCACCACCUCCCGCUUCACUCUCUCUGUCUCUCCUGCUCCACCAUGGCCAGAAACGUGCCUGCUUCCCCUUCGCCUUCUGCCGUGAUUGUCAGUUUCCUGAGGCCUCCCCAGCCAUGCUUCCUGUACAGCCUGCAGAACUGACUCCUAGAAGUACCCCACCCCACCCCUGCUCCUUGGAGGACAACGUGAUCACUGUAUUCAGCUCUGUCAAGAAUGGUCCAGGUUCUUCUAGAUGAUCUGCACAAAUGGCUCCUCUCCUCCUUCCUGAUGUCUGCCAUUAGCACUGGAAUAAAGUUCCUGCUGAAAAUCCA
rnacentral:lncRNA from 1 species